UCGGUACCUCAUCUCAAGUAGAGAAUCCCUGGCCGAAUUUCCUCCCCUCUCCUCUCUCUCAAAUCAUCCUCCUUGCUAUUUGGUGUUUGUAAGCCAUUAGAGGAGUUACAAUUAUGACUCUAGAGCUCCAAGACAACAAGAUCAAACAAGAGAUUCAAAGGUUUUAUACACAUACCACUAAUCGAUAACCAUGGCAUUUAACCUUAGUUUCAAGGUUCGAUUAUAGGUUUUCUAUAUGUAAGAAUGAAAGGUUUGAUUUCAAUUUUUUCUGAUUUGAAUGCACUUUUGAAGGUAUGCGAACAACCAUAUAUAAGUGGUUUUUAUUUAAGUUUAUUACUUGAGAAUGUUAAAUGUUACAUAGAUUUGUACAUCUUUGUUAUUUUGAUUUUAAGGUUGAAAUCUGUAUAUGUAUCUUUUUUUUCCGAUUCAGUGAAAUCCCAUGAAAAUACAUAUGGAAGAAAUUUGUGAUGAGUUAUGUUAAGAGGCUUGUAACUUUCUACUGCCCAGGGAAUUCAAUUAGAAAUAGGAUUUUGCUAUGGUUCCAAUGUGAAGGUUGCAAGCAUGUCUUUCAAUAACAAAUUAAGGUAUAUAUGACAACUACAAAGAAGCAAAGCAUGCUUGAUGUUCUUCAUGAGCAGGGGAUGCUCCAUUGUAAUUUAACUCUCCUAAUAUUUUUAUUGAUUUAUAUACCAUUUGUGUCAAUUGAGUUGUUUGGUUAAUAACAUCUUGGUUAUAUGUAUCUGUAAAUAACUAGCUGGGUGAAUUGUUUGCUUGUAUAAAUAAAAAAAUCAAAGGUAUACUAAAGUAAAAGGAGU